rnacentral:rRNA from 1 species
AAUGAACGCUGGCGGUAGGCCUAACACAUGCAAGUCGAACGGCAGCACAGUAAUAGCUUGCUCUUACGGGUGGCGAGUGGCGGACGGGUGAGGAAUACAUCGGAAUCUACUUUUUCGUGGGGGGUAACGUAGGGAAACUUACGCUGAUACCGCAUACGACCUACGGGUGAAAGCAGGGGAUCUUCUGACCUUGCGCGAUUGAAUGAGCCGAUGUCGGAUUAGCUAGUUGGCGGGGUAAAGGCGCACCAAGGCGACGAUCCGUAGCUGGUCUGAGAGGAUGAUCAGACAGACUGGAACUGAGACACGGUACACACUCCUACGGGAGGCAGCAGUGGGGAAUAUUGGACAAUGGGCGAAAGCCGGAUCCAGCCAUACCGCGUCGGUGAAGAAGGCCUUCGGGUUGUAAAGCCCUUUUGUUGGGAAAGAAAAGCAGCAGGUUAAUCCCCCGCUGUUCUGACGGUACCCAAAGAAUAAGCACCGGCUAACUUCGUG